rnacentral:rRNA from 1 species
UUAACCAUUAGUUUACUAUUGGAGCGGUUAGUGGCGGACUGGUGAGUAACACGUAAGCAACCUGCCUAUCAGAGGGGAACAACAGUUAGAAAUGACUGCUAAUACCGCAUAUACCUUAGAAUCACAUGGUUCAAAAGGGAAAGGAGCAAUCCGCUGAUAGAUGGGCUUGCGUCUGAUUAGCUAGUUGGUGGGGUAACGGCCUACCAAGGCGACGAUCAGUAACCGAACUGAGAGGUUGAACGGCCACAUUGGGACUGAGAUACGGCCCAGACUCC